CUGAGGUUCUAUCCAAGAUUCCUCCAAAGCGGCUCAACAUUUCGUAUUUCGUUUCAAUUGUAUCUAGUCGAUGAACGUUCGUCACGUUUCGGUUUGCUAUUGGAUGAAAAAUUCAGAUAGUAGCCGAGGUAGGCGUGUUUCGUUGUACCGUCGAAUAAUUGUUUAGUGCUGCCGUAAGGCGAAAUCGAUGGCUUGAGUCUAAGGAUACGAGAAAUUGGUCUGGCGAACACGAAUCGGAGGGCAUAAUCGAGGCCAGGGGAGUCUAGCAUAGUCUGACAAUGGAUGGCAAUUUCUACUGUUGGACAGACAACACUGGCUGCAUACACUGGCGCAGGUGCCGCAGUUGGCAGGUGCGAGCCUGACCUAGCACAGCGGGGUGUCUCGAGACUCCAGAGGUGGAAAGAGAAAUGGCAAAUAAAAGGAACGAGGAGUCUGCCCCGAGCGUCGAGGAACAACCGUGCCCGGUAAGCAAUCGUACGCCACAAUAUUGGAAGCUUUCACCCUCCAACAGAGCCAAGUAAGACAGUACCGCGAUUGUAACACGCCAUUUUUUCUCCGCAACCGAUCCUGUUCGACGAAUUAGAGCCAAUUUACGGUGAACAUCUUGUCCGUGGAAGACUAAACACCGGGUGUUUUGUAAUUCGUGGUUAAGAUGUAACUGGAAUACAGUGAAUUCUCUUUAAGAGACGCGAGGUUGAGUCUGAGGGAUCUCACUUAAGGGUGCCCAGGAGUCAAAACAGAAUUCCGAAUUGACUUCAGCGACAGUUGCGGAAAAAAUAGGAAACUCCGGGACAAGGACAGAGAGGGCGAUACAACCAUUGCAGGAGAGACGAGGACAGGGCGAUUAGGCUAGCAUGAUUUUUUUCCAGGAUAUUGAAGCAAAGAAGCAAUAUUUUCUAAUAAUUCUGGUUUUAAUAUAUUCGUUACACUUUGGCGGGCAGCAGAGCUCUGCGCAGAGCACCCAAACAUAUAGAAACAAUUCAUAGAACAAACGCAACGUAUAGAAAAAACAACAUUCUAGAAAUGUAUAUCUCUCGAGAAAUGCAAAAAAAGCACCUCAUAACAAAUUUCACAGUGUUGAACCCCUUAAUCCAUUGCAGACGGCGAUUUUUUUCGAACGCGGUCCCCAAGACCGAAAUUUCUUUUUCUUUAUGUUGUCCAUUUUUAAUAAAACAAACUUGUUUACUAUGGAAAUCACCGAUAGUGUGAGCAGCUCGCUCCUCAGAAAAUUAGUAUCGCGAGGAACUGGUUGAACACCAUGUGUGCAAUGUAAGGUAAAAUCAAUAUACAUUAUUAAAAUU